AUUGAACGCUGGCGGCAGGCUUAACACAUGCAAGUCGAGCGGAGAGAGGCAGCUUGCUACUGAUCUUAGCGGCGGACGGGUGAGUAAUGCUUAGGAAUCUGCCUAUUAGUGGGGGACAACAUUUCGAAAGGAAUGCUAAUACCGCAUACGUCCUACGGGAGAAAGCAGGGGAUCUUCGGACCUUGCGCUAAUAGAUGAGCCUAAGUCGGAUUAGCUAGUUGGUGGGGUAAAGGCCUACCAAGGCGACGAUCUGUAGCGGGUCUGAGAGGAUGAUCCGCCACACUGGGACUGAGACACGGCCCAGACUCCUACGGGAGGCAGCAGUGGGGAAUAUUGGACAAUGGGCGGAAGCCUGAUCCUGCCAUGCCGCGUGUGUGAAGAAGGCCUUAUGGUUGUAAAGCACUUUAGGCGAGGAGGAGGCUACUUUAGUUAAUACCUAGAGAUAGUGGACGUUACUCGCAGAAUAAGCACCGGCUAACUCUGUGCCAGCAGCCGCAGUAAUAC
rnacentral:rRNA from 1 species